rnacentral:rRNA from 1 species
CCUACGGGGGGCUGCAGUGGGGAAUAUUGGACAAUGGGGGGAACCCUGAUCCAGUCAUGCCGCGUGUGUGAAGAAGGCCCUCGGGUUGUAAAGCACUUUCAGUGAGGAAGAACGCCUGGUGGUUAAUACCCAUCAGGAAAGACAUCACUCACAGAAGAAGCACCGGCUAACUCCGUGCCAGCAGCCGCGGUAAUACGGAGGGUGCGAGCGUUAAUCGGAAUUACUGGGCGUAAAGCGCGCGUAGGUGGCUUGAUAAGCCGGUUGUGAAAGCCCCGGGCUCAACCUGGGAACGGCAUCCGGAACUGUCAAGCUAGAGUGCAGGAGAGGAAGGUAGAAUUCCCGGUGUAGCGGUGAAAUGCGUAGAGAUCGGGAGGAAUACCGGUGGCGAAGGCGGCCUUCUGGACUGACACUGACACUGAGGUGCGAAAGCGUGGGUAGCAAACAGGAUUAGAUACCCCAGUAGUC